rnacentral:lncRNA from 1 species
CGGGAGGCGGGAGGGAGGGCAGGCGGGCUCUCCUCUCCAGGCCAGCGCUAGGUCCGGGAGAUCCGCCCCCAGCUUCGUCCCGAUCCUUUGGGGAGUCCUGCGCCACACGCCACAGCAUGUGUGGCUGGUAAAGGCUCUGAGGGGCCCGCUGCGUGGAAACCAGUUCCCGUCUCCUGCUCUAAGGCCGUGGCUCUCCUCUUUUCUGGAGGAAAGCGUCCUCUGCUCCCUUCCCCACCCUGCCCAGCGCCCUUGCCCUGCACUGCGCGGCCUGGCCGGGGCCACCAUGUUUCCCAGGCGGUCAGAGGCUGCGGAGGGAGAAUCUGCUGGAGGAGCAUCUAGGCGGCCCCAGGCACCAAGCAGCGGGUGUGCCUGUUUCCUGGGGAAGCCGGACGACAGCUCCACAAGCUUGACAUCUCAAAGCAACAGAAAUGCGUGGUCUGUGGGUUCGGGAGACUGCCGCCUGGAUCACAGCUCCUCCCGGGUCCCUGGGCGGGACGUCUCCUGUCUUCGGCUCCUGGAGGCCCCAGGCUCUCUUGGCUUUUCUGUCUCCAGGGUCAUGACUUUCCCUGUACCAGGUCAGGUCUCCCUCUGCCUCCCCUGACAAGGACCUUCGUGAUCACAUUUAGGGCCUCCCCAGGGUAACCCCGGACAAUCUUCCCAUCUGAUGUCACCGUAUUGGCAGCAUCCUUUCUGGCCACAGAAGGUGACAUUCACAAGCUCCAGGGAUCAGGACAGGGACACCUUUUGGGGUCUGUGGGUGGGAUUAAAUACUUGGAGACUCUCAAGUCAUUUGAGGACAGGGGCAGCUCUGGGCCCCUCCUGGGGUGCGGUCAUGGUCUGGCCCAGAGCUUCGCGUCGAUCCCAGGAACCUCGGAUCACGACGCUUCACGGACUGAGCCACUCAGACACCUCUGAUCUCGGUUUUGUUACUCAUCUUGCUAAAUUCACCCCUGGCCCCUAGACCUGGUACCCCAAAGCCCAGGGACUGUCCUGUCCACCCAUGAGAGAGGGUUUAUGUGGACUCAGGGAGGACUUCUGUAUUAGACAGGCUUCUCUACAACCGAUGGCAAGGAUGGGCUCGCGGAACUACCAAGGCGGGAUAAAUCCAAAAUGUGGGGGGCGCGCUGGGUGGCCAGAGACCCGGGGAGGGGGGUCGCCAGAGUCCACAGGCCGUCUGCCGGAGAGGGCCCUGCUCAGAGGUCAACCUGUUCCCCUCAAGCCUUCUCGGGUGGGCAGAGGCCCGCUGUCUCAGGCCCCCGGGCCGCUGUAACAAGACAG